ACUUAGGAGUGUUGGUGUUUCCUCUGAGCUCCAGCUGAAGCAUGAGGUGUUUCCUGUUUUCCACUCUUCUAUAAUCUGAAGUCAUGCUUUGCCAUGGAAAGUGCUGAAAGGAAAAACAAAACAGCUUUCAAUUAAAAGGAGAAAAGUGUUCAGAUGAGGAGCAGGCUGAAGAUAUGAAGGUUGGUUUGCUGUCGGAUUGGGUGCCUGCUCUGUCCCCGCAGGACACAGCCCCACUCAGCCCACCUCAGCAAGGGGCACAUCUAAACAUCCGCAGAGAGACUUCCAGAAAAAGAUGCUGCGAUUUGUUUUCCACUCAGCAGCUGAUGGACUUUUCAGUUGUUUCCAGUUUUUGACCAUUGUGAAUAAAGCUGCUUUGGACAUUCUCAUGCGGAGCUCGUGCAAACAUAUGUCCUCGUUUCCUGUGAGUAGAGGCGUGGAAUGCUGAAUUAUAUGAAGAGGACGCCCCGCUGUCCAAGACGCCACCAAGCUGCUUACAAAGCCAGGUUUCUGAUCAGUGCCUAUCGGCGGCCUUACGCUUUUUGGUCUAGUAAAUCGCCUCUGCCUUUUAAAUGGAACACCUAGACUGUUUAUGUUUUGCACGAUUACGGAUGUGGGAGGGUUUAAUUCUACCCUCUGCCUAAUGCUUUCCACGUGUCCCAUCUGACCUUUCUUUCUGUUCCCUCAUUUUUGUGUGCCUUCUUUAGGAUUGAGUGUAUUUUUAUAGUUCCAUUUUAUUUAACCUGUCAGCUGACCAUUCUGCUUUUCAGAAAUUUUUGGUGGUUGUGGAGGAGAUGUGGCUUUCACUGUGACCCCUCAUUCAGAGGUGACAGGUUUUGCUUUGGAUCUGGGGCCCUGCAGGGGCCCAUCUGGGAGCUGCAGCCUCUGCGGGCUUCCUGCCUGUGUGCCCCCAGGUGGGGGGCACAUUCGUUCCACCUUGUGAGUACUUGGCAGUGGGUGCAGCCUGGGAAGAGCAGGCUCUCCUUGUGUCCAGCCGGCACCCUAGCCGAUAUUUAUUUGCCUUUCAGAACCCGUAGACCCCCUCAGCCACAUUCCUUUUGUCAGAUUUCAGGGCCAGAAUGCUUUAGUCUAGAACCAUUGGAGGCUUUCUGUUUUGCUUCACUUUGUUUAGUGCAAGGAGCAGAUGGUGUAAUGCUAGUGAACAGAUGGAGGAGAAACCAGAAUGACUCAGUUUAUACUUUAUUUUUCACUUUCUUUAUAUAAAAAUGGUGUUCAGACAGAAAGGACAGAGCAAACUUGUGGGAGCUGAAGUCCCAAAUAGUCAGAAAAUAAUGUGAGAACACCUGCUUUCUGUAAGAGAACAGUGUGAUUCAGACAAUCAAAAAGGCCUCGGAAAGGAGAUUGCAAAGCUCUUGGAGGCAAUCUUUGUGGGAUGUUGAGGAACAAGAGAGAGACCAGCGGGCAAGAGACGGACAGAUGUCCUAGCUUUCAAAAUGAGGGUAGGGGCCACUUAGAGGACUGCAGACGAGCCUUCUCUCCAUCUCUUGGUGGACAGUUUUAGUCUAGAUGCUUCAGGAACACCCAGGAAAGAAGGAACUAGCAUUGGCUCACUUAAAAGAAAAAGCCAUGUCAAGGUGACCUUGUUUCCUGAGAAUAAUGUGUUAGUACGUGGGGGGAGCUGCAUGUAUCUUCACUUGGGUCAGGAUUGAGCUCCCUGAGGACAAAGGGGAGAACAAUGGGUUACAAAUAACACCCUUUGGUGAGUUCAAAGCUGGCUGGAGAAUUAUGCCCAAUGGAGUUACAAUGGGACAGAGAAGAACAGUGGUCUUCCCUGGGGCUUUGUCCUUGCAUCUGUCCUGCUCAAAAUUGAUUAUCAAUCAUCUAAAUAAUGACAGCUGUCAUGAUGCCCGUGGAGAGCCCUCUGUCUAAAAUAAUAAAAACGAGGUUACAAGAUACCCAUGCGAUAAGCCAGGAUGACAGUGCAGAGGAUACAAUUUUUUCUUUUUCUUCCUUAUGUGAUCCUGAUGGGGCUGAUGACAGAAGCAGUCUAACAGAGGUCUUUGUGUCACUGUCAGCAUGCAGACCCUUCCCUUUCUCCCGCAACCUCCCUGCAUUUGGGAAGAUAUACACAGCUGUGCGGUGAGGAUGAAGCCAGAAGCAGAGAGAGCCAAUGAAAACUUAAGCUAUAAAAAUAAAACCUGAACUCGAUAAUAAUAUGAAACCUUUGCAAUAGUGAAUUGCUUCUGAAACCAGGACCGGAAACACGUCACAUCCUGCAUGUAACUUUUGUCAUGAGACUAAGCAGAGAGCUGAAAAGCUUCCCAAAGGCUGGCUGACUCCUCAGCCUUGCCCGACCUUAGAACAGACCCAAACUCCCCAGAGAUCGCAGGAACUCUAGAGGAGGGCUUCUACCAAAAUGAGGGCACAGGGAGGGUUUCUGGUGGCUCACGGGGGUCCUCCUGCAGGGAGUGACCGGCAGAGCCACCUGUGUGCCAAGGCUGCGUGAGGUGAGCCUGAGAGUGCCUGGAAUGCAGGGUGGACCUGCCCACUUUCUGCACAGUUCCUCAGAGCUCAGGGUUAGUGCUUUUGGCAAGUGUAUAGAAAACAGUAGAUAGGGUGUUAAAAAUAUUUUGCAAUGCCACAGUGCCGUCAAGCCAUCAACCAUAUGUGCAGCAAGCAUUUUAAUUUUUUAAAGUUUUCUUACAUGUUUUACCAAUCUUUGUUGAAAACAUUCAUAUUGGUCUUGUUUUAAGCUCUUACUGACAAGGCAUAAUUGAACAGAAGCCCCAUUUUCUAUCUCAAACAAAAUGUUUUCAUGAGGAGCGCCUGGGACUGGUCUAACCAGUCUGUAGGUCAACAGGUCAGCGUGUGAUAACUGGCGAGUCUGCAAACCAUGGCGGCAGAGCAGAGCUGACGCGUUUCAAACAACCCCUUCAACAACCGUGGGAGUUGGGGUCGCCGUGCCACUCACUCGGAAACCCAGGGAAAAGACGGGCCCCUGCUCUUGUGAAGAAUAUUGAUCCAAUUCACCAAGUAUUGAAAUAUUUGAGAAAUGUUUUACUACAGUGAAAACAUUAAGGCGAGCAGAGGUGGAGGCAGUGGGUCAGCUCAGUUCUCCGGCGGUGGGAACCUGGCCUCUCGCCUCCUGAAGCAGCCUGAUCAAAUCCACUCCUCACUGCUGCGCCUCCUCAGCCCUUCUCAUCAGCUCCUUCUCCAGUGGCUUGGGGUUUGAUGUGAAGCACCUGACGCGUUAGCACUUUCAGCGGACCUCGGUUCCCUGUGGACACCGAGACCAGAACACAUCCUCGGCGCACCCACUGUUCACUCGGCCAUUCCCCACAUGACUCCCACGCCACACAGGCAAACCCAGCCGACGAACGAGGCAGCAGAUCUUUUCUAGCUGCUUAUUCAGUGGGGUUCUGGUGUCGCCUGGGCAGAUUCACUUUUUACAAAACACGUUGACAACCUUGCUUUUGGACCUCUAGAAACUCAGAGUGAAGUGUAUGGGCUUGCCUCUGGACCUCGGGCAAGGACCAGAGAAGGGGCUGCUGCUGCUUUCUUGUGCUAAAUCAGGAUGCUUUCCUUUUAUAGCAUUUAAAAAACUUUCCCAGAAAACAUUGGCGUUACCCUGUGUCAUGUAUUUAAGUGCACAAUGUUAGACUCUCUUAAAAGAAUGUUGAAAAGACUGUAUUUUAAAAUAACAAGCAUGGGGAAAAGACUGUU